rnacentral:ncRNA from 2 species
AAUUAUCUUCAGGGCGGGGCGUAAUUCCCCACCGGCGGUAUAGCCCGCGAGCUAAGUUUUUUAGCAUGAUUCGGUGAAACUCCGAGGCCGACAGUAUAGUCUGGAUGAAAGAAGGUAGUA